rnacentral:rRNA from 1 species
CCCUUAGAUGUUCUGGGCCGCACGCGCGCUACACUGACUGCUCCAACAAGUUACCUGGGCUGACAAGCAUCCGGGAAAUCUUGCAAAGGCAGUCGUGAUGGGGAUAGAUUAUUGUAAUUUUUGAUCUUCAACGAGGAAUUCCUAGUAAACGCAAGUCAUCAGCUUGCAUUGAUUACGUCCCUGCCCUUUGUACACACCGCCCGUCGCAUCUACCGAUUGAAUGGAGAGGCAAAAUCUUCGGACCGUGACGCUUGGGAGUCAAAUCUCGGGCUGUCGUGGGAAGUGGAUUAAACCUUUCUAUUUAGAGGAAGGUAAAGUCGUAACA